GCAGGUGCGUGUGAGGUAAUUGAACUGACACUUUCCAAGAAGUAGAACAAAGUUAUUUCAAAGCUAACCCAAACUGUCAUUGACAUCCAUUACUAUUUGCAAUGCCACUCCCUAGACACUGGUUUCUGUCUGGCUGCAAGUCAAAUCCCAAUGUCUCUACACCUUAUUAAUUACCGUAGCUGUUAGUGAGGAUGAGUGUGUGUGUGUUUGUGUGUGUGUGUUAUGUUUCUGUGUGUGUGUGUUUGUGUGUGUCGUGUGUCUGUGUGUGUGUUUGUGUGUGUGUUAUGUUUGUGUGUGUUAUGUUUCUGUGUGUGUGCGUGCUUGCGCGUGUGUGUGACUGUGUGUAUCAAAUCAAAUGUUAUUGGUCACAUACACACAUUUAGCAGAUGUUAUUGCUGGUGUAGCAAAAUGCUUGUGUUUCCAACAGUUCAGUAAUAUCUAACAAUACACACCAAUACACACAAAUCUAAAAGUAAAAAAUUGAAUUAAGAAAUAUAUAAAUAUUAGGAUGAUGCCUGUCAUUUUUUCCCGUUAAGGUUACGACCGUGGAAAUGUUUGUAAUGACCUGUCAAACAAACCCCAAUUAUGUCUGAAAUGGGCUGAAUGGAAUACAUUGGCUAUAAUAACGUUAAAGCUUCAUCUGGGAUUUAACACAAAGUCUCAACACUUUCAUCACAAGAAAAAUAAUGAAGCUAACUUUAUUUUUAUGAGUGUUCAUUUUUGUUGAAUUAAAAAAAAAUCUUACAAAUUAAAUACACUGAAAUGAAAACAACUUCAGAAAAUGAAGAUAUCGUGAUAUUUUGUCUGAUCUAACAAACAAUUUAAAAUCUGUUUAGAUAGAUGUAAUCUAGAACCAAGCCUGUUGAUUGUUACACUGUAUCCUGAUAUGUAAAGUCUGUUUAGAUAGGUGUAAUCUAGAACCAAGCCUGUUGAUUUUUACACUGUAUCCUGAUAUGUAAAGUCUGUUUAGAUAGGUGUAAUCUAGAACCAAGCCUGUUGAUUUUUACACUGUAUCCUGAUAUGUAAAGUCUGUUUAGAUAGGUGUAAUCUAGAACCAAGUCUGUUGAUUUUUACACUGUAUCCUGAUAUGUAAAGUCUGUUUAGAUAGGUGUAAUCUAGAACCAAGCCUGUUGAUUUUUACACUGUAUCCUGAUAUGUAAAGUCUGUUUAGAUAGGUGUAAUCUAGAACCAAGCCUGUUGAUUGUUACACUGUAUCCUGAUAUGUAAAGUCUGUUUAGAUAGGUGUAAUCUAGAACCAAGCCUGUUGAUUGUUACACUGUAUCCUGAUAUGUAAAGUCUGUUUAGAUAGGUGUAAUCUAGAACCAAGCCUGUUGAUUUUUACACUGUAUCCUGAUAUGUAAAGUCUGUUUAGAUAGGUGUAAUCUAGAACCAAGCCUGUUGAUUUUUACACUGUAUCCUGAUAUGUAAAGUCUGUUUAGAUAGGUGUAAUCUAGAACCAAGCCUGUUGAUUGUUACACUGUAUCCUGAUAUGUAAAGUCUGUUUAGAUAGGUGUAAUCUAGAACCAAGUCUGUUGAUUGUUACACUGUAUCCUGAUAGGUAAAGUCUGUUUAGAUAGGUGUAAUCUAGAACCAAGCCUGUUGAUUUUUACACUGUAUCCUGAUAGGUAAAGUCUGUUUAGAUAGGUGUAAUCUAGAACCAAGCCUGUUGAUUGUUACACUGUAUCCUGAUAUGUAAAGUCUGUUUAGAUAGGUGUAAUCUAGAACCAAGCCUGUUGAUUGUUACACUGAAGGUAUCCUGAUAUUGACACACGUAUUGAAUUAUGCAACAGAACGUGACAACAACAGUAAUUAAUGAGGCAGUCUAGACAGCGCAGGUGUGUGAUUGCAGGUAGGGUAGACAGAGCAAGUGUUUGGUGGUUGCAGCCCUUUUCCACCCCUUUAUAUUCAUUUCUGAAUUCAUGCAAAUUGUCACACCAUUUCUUUUUUUCAACACAAAAUUAAAAAAAAUAAA